UCAGUCUUCCACUAGCAGCCUUCAGAUGAAGAUGUAGAACUCUCAGCUCCUCCUGCACCAUGCCUGCCUGGAUGCUGCCAUGUUCCUGCCUUGAUGAUAAUGCACUGAACCUCUAAACAUACGCUCCUGUCCAUUGUUUGGAAAUUGGAGAGCCACUAUGUCCGAAAGACAACAGGAAGGACCCCGGAAGGCAAGGAUCUGCAGCUUCUUAGUGACCUUAGUGACCCAGGAAGGUGACGCAAUAGAGAGCUGAGUUACAGAUGUGGCCGAAUGCCAUCUAAUUACUUCAUAGUGGAGGGAAGAUCUGCCUGCUUCUAUAAAAUCUGUGCUCUCUAAGCCAACACUACUGGCCAGGAGGACUAGCUUCCAGAAGAGCAGGUUUGGAGGGCUGAGGAGGCCGGAACAAGUUAAGGCCUUGAGGAGGUGAUCUCAGACUCAGACAGCAACUCCACCCGCCACCAGAGUCGCUCCUAAUGGUUUGUCAAAAUUAAACAGCUGUCAGGGGCAACCAUCCCAUCACCAACUCCCACUCUCUAUUCUCUGAAAUUAAAAUACAAUAGCAUGGGGGAUGUGCUCAAAGGGGAGAAUAAUUAUUCCUAGCCGAAGGCUUAAAUUGGGCGGAAUAUCACAAUCCUUUCACAGGGGUGUAAAGUUAAGGAUAAAAAGACUGUGGAAUUCAGCUUCGAGGGGGGACUGUUCUCUCUGGCUGUCCUCUUUUCUUCUUCUCCAUCCCCCCAGUCCCCCCCCCCUCCUCCACCGACAGUUUUCAACAGAAGAGUUUGAAAAAAAAAUGUCUGGUAUCGUCUGGCUUGUUUAGUUAUUAAAAUACUUCUGUGGCUCUCCCAACUCCCAACUCACUGAAUACCAUUGUUGAAGGACUGGGGAACAAUGGACCCUAUAUACAGUAGCUCCCUCACCUUGCCUCUUCUGAAUGACAAUCACCAGGCAAAUCAGGGAGUGCAAUCAAGCCAUCAGCAGCCACACAUUUUCAACCCAUCUAAUCUACAGGGAUCUGUUUUUUUUCUUUCCAACAGACACUGAAGCAGUCACUGUAACUUAGGGACCCAGGCUCUGGCACGGACUUUGUUUCCAGGUUCAGCCUUCCUUACCUCCUUCGUUGUCUUUGCUGUCUGUACAGAGGGUCUCCAUGGCUACGUCACAGCCUGCUCCUCUCCACCCUGGCUGGCAAACGCAGUGCCAGCCGUUUUGGUCCAGUGUGCAUCUCCCAUUGCUGUUGCACAAGCCGGGGCAACCCUCUGUCAAGACAAGGAAGGGAAACACCGCUGAUUUGAGGAUUGAAAGACUUUGCGUCUGAAGGAAACAGAUACAGGACACUUAGUGGGAACAGGCCUUUAUAAACAGCACAAAGACUGUAAUUGCACAUGGAUAGAAACAGCAACAUUAUCCAAGGAAUCUAAUUCUUACCCAAAGUGGCAUCUUUGAUUGGCCUGACCCUUGAGACACCACUUACCUGUGUAGGACAGAAAUAUAUGCAACGACCCACUAAGUAGCUUCAGGCCAGACAAAAUUAACUUGACAUUUUUUUUCCCCCUUUCACAAAGCAACAAGGUCUAGUCUGUGGUUUGGAGAAGCACCUCAGGAAAAUAAUUUCAGACCCCCUUGUUCCAAUUUUUGAUCUGUUGCAAACAUUGCUAGAAAGCUUCUUUUUAAAGCACCUGGUUGCUUUAAAAAAAAUUCCCCUAAAUUCAAGAACACGAGUGUGGCUAUGAAUUUAUGACUGGUGUUUAAAAAGAGAGCAUUAAUUUUAUCUGGCCUCAGAGUUGCCGAAUAUUCAUGUGAAAUUACAGUGUAUUAAAUAAUUGCACAAAGUAUAGGUCAGGAGUAAUGACUAUACUUUAUGCCAAGAGUACAUUCCUUUUCACAGACUAAGCAAAGCCCAGGAGAAGGGAAGCAGCUUUAGCGUCUAUUCUAACAAACAUUAGGAUUCAGGCUGCAUACGGAUGGGACGGGACCAACAGGAUUUCCAACUAAAUGUAAUAGCUGUGCAGAUUUGAUUACUUAGGACGGACAAAAUGAAAUACCAUAAGGACCACAAUAAAACAUCGAUAGACUAAACAAAAACACGGUAGUGGCGUGCUUCAAGACAGAUAGCGAGGGGUGAUAUUUUGUGACAAUCUCCCUAAGGCUUUUAUGCUGUUACCUUUAUAUCCUAUCUUGUCUGCUUUUAUGGGCAAGAAGGGAAAAUUUGGGAAAUCAUUAAUUUAAAUAUAUCCAAAAUUGAUAAUUGUCUCAGCCUAACAUAAUUUUUUUAUCCCCCACCCAAAAAACCAAAUUUUGUCACUGCCUACUGAUGACAUCUGGCAUGCAGCCAACAUGAUCUACUUAUGAAGGAUGACGCUCAGGUGGAUUCUGCGGUCCCUGUUAUGAGUGUGACAUGGUGCUGACAGAAAUAAGGAUUAAAUGCUCUAAGCUCCUUCCCUGACCUGGCUAGCAAUCAAGUCUCUUUGGCUAACUCCAACAGGAAGAAGGUUGCCUUCUGACGCAGUGAUACUUAAGGAUACCAUCAGGCCAGGAUGAGAUUAAUUCUGUGGCUUAUUUUGUCUUUAGACAGUUACCGUCUGUAUCUAUGGAUUUGCUCAUACAUAGAAGGUUUACGGGACCAGCUGGACCAAGACUGUAUCUCUGCUGUCUGUGUACCAUUUAUCUUUCUGAGACAGCCUCUCUCCCGUCACUCACGGCAGAGACCUAAUAUAUUCUUAAUAAGCCU
rnacentral:lncRNA from 1 species